CAAAAACAUCGCUUUAUGUGUUAUAUAAAUAUAAAGUAGUGCCUGCUCCCUGAAUAUAAAGAGCCGCAGUAUCUUGACUGUGCAAAGGUAGCAUAAUCAAUAACCUACUAAUUGUAGGUUGGAAUGAAAGGUUGACUGAUGAGCCUCUUUCUUUAGUUAAAAAAUUGAAUUUUACUUUCAAGUGAAAAGGCUUGAAUAGAAAAGAGGGACGAUUAGACCCUAUAAAACUUGACAGCUAUUUGGGUUUUAUGAAGUUGUGUUAAAAUUAAGUUUUUUUUAGCUGUUUGAUUGGGGCGAUUGUAAUAUAUUUUUUCUAGCUAUUAUUUAUAGUAUAAUAUUUAUUUUUAGAUUAUGACCCUUUAUUAAGGAUUAGAAGAUAAAGUUACUUUAGGGAUAACAGCGUAAGAUUUCUAUUUGAGAGUUCAUAUUGAAAAAGGAGUUACGACCUCGAUGUUGAAUUAAGGUUACUUUUAGGCGCAACCGCUUAAAAAGUGAGUCUGUUCGACUUUUAAACCGUUACAUGAUUUGAGUUCAGACCGGCGUGAGCCAGGUUGGUUUCUAUCU
rnacentral:rRNA from 1 species